rnacentral:rRNA from 1 species
AUUGAACGCUGGCGGCAGGCCUAACACAUGCAAGUCGAGCGGAUGAGUGGAGCUUGCUCCAUGUUCCAGCGGCGGACGGGUGAGUAAUGCCUAGGAAUCUGCCUGGUAGUGGGGGACAACGUUUCGAAAGGAACGCUAAUACCGCAUACGUCCUACGGGAGAAAGUGGGGGAUCUUCGGACCUCACGCUAUCAGAUGAGCCUAGGUCGGAUUAGCUAGUUGGUGAGGUAAAGGCUCACCAAGGCGACGAUCCGUAACUGGUCUGAGAGGAUGAUCAGUCACACUGGAACUGAGACACGGUCCAGACUCCUACGGGAGGCAGCAGUGGGGAAUAUUGGACAAUGGGCGAAAGCCUGAUCCAGCCAUGCCGCGUGUGUGAAGAAGGUCUUCGGAUUGUAAAGCACUUUAAGUUGGGAGGAAGGGCAGUAAGUUAAUACCUUGCUGUUUUGACGUUACCAACAGAAUAAGCACCGGCUAACUUCGUGCCAGCCGCCGCCGUAAGAC